UGGGGAAUUUUGGACAAUGGGGGCAACCCUGACCCAGCAACGCCGCGUGAAGGAUGAAGUAUUUCGGUAUGUAAACUUCGAAAGAAUAGGAAGAAUAAAUGACGGUACUAUUUAUAAGGUCCGGCUAACUACGUGCCAGCAGCCGCGGUAAUACGUAGGGACCAAGCGUUGUUCGGAUUUACUGGGCGUAAAGGGCGCGUAGGCGGCAUGACAAGUCACUUGUGAAAUCUCUGGGCUUAACCCAGAACGGCCAAGUGAUACUGUCGCGCUAGAGUGCAGAAGGGGCAAUCGGAAUUCUUGGUGUAGCGGUGAAAUGCGUAGAUAUCAAGAGGAACACCUGAGGUGAAGACGGGUUGCUGGGCUGACACUGACGCUGAGGCGCGAAAGCCAGGGGAGCAAACGGGAUUAGAUACCCCAGUAGUCCCUGAGCGGGCUGGCAAGGCGCAU
rnacentral:rRNA from 1 species